rnacentral:rRNA from 1 species
AGGUGCGAUCAUACCAGUGUUAAUGCACCGGAUCCCAUCAGAACUCCGCAGUUAAGCGUGCUUGGGCUAGAGUAGUACUGGGAUGGGUGACCUCCCGGGAAGUCCUAGUGUUGCACCCU